rnacentral:rRNA from 1 species
AUCGAACGCUGGCGGCAGGCCUAACACAUGCAAGUCGAACGAGUGGCGGACGGGUGAGUAAUGUCUGGGCAACUUCCUGAUGGAGGGGGAUAACUACUUGAAAACGUAGCUAAAUCCGCAUACCCUCGGAUGUGACCAGAUGGGAUUAGCUAGUGGGUGGGGUAAAGGCUCACCUAGUCGACGAUCCCUAGCUGGUCUGAGAGGAUGACCAGCCACACUGGAACUGAGACACGGUCCAGACUCCUACGGGAGGCAGCAGUGGGGAAUAUUGCACAAUGGGCGCAAGCCUGAUGCAGCCAUGCCGCGUGUAUGAAGAAGGCCUUCGGGUUGUAAAGUACUGUCAGCGGGGAGGCGUUACCCGCAGAAGAAGCACCGGCUAACUCCGUGCCAGCAGCCGCGGUAAUUC